AGCUAUGUCCAGUCGUCUUGGCUCGGCCCCAGGGGCACAGUGCAAUGGGAGAGAUGGUGGGUUCUAAUAUGAUGUGGUAGGUGGUGGGUAGGUAGCUGAAUGCUGUGGAAACAGAGGGGAGCGGCAUAGAAUCUGACUGGGAGAUUUGGGGAAGCUUUUCUGGAGGGCACAUGUCAUGAGGGAUGGUGAGAAGUAGCCUGUAGAAAGGGAUUUUGGUGCAGGAACCAGCCUAAGGCAUGGCAACUUGAGAGACCACGGUCAUGUGACAUAAUUGCUCUGAGUGGGAAAAUGGAACGUAUGUGGCCCCUGCAGUUGUUGUCAUCCUAAGAUUCUGUAAGUAGCGGGGUUUAGCUGAAUGGCCACAAGUGCCCCCAAAUACCCACACACAUUUGAGGUUUGGGUCAGAAAAUGCUCUGAAAAUGGCCAUUUUCUGCAACAAGGUUUUGCAUCCUGGGAACAGAAAUGGAAAUGAAAGGAUGGUCAGGGUGAAACGUUGCUGGACCCGCAGACACGGAGAAAGGCAGAGUGGCAAGGGAGUCCCCGGUGUCAGCAAGAGCCAUGGAAAAUGCCAAGUGCUGCACCAUUGAGCACAACUGGCAUUCACACGUGGCUGGCGGGAGUGUUACGCUGGUUCAAUCACUUUGGAGAAAACUGGCAGGAUCAACUAACUAGUGGAAGGUCUAGCCUAUACCCAGGCUGUUCCGCUGAUAUGUUUAUACCCAACAGAAAUAUGCUCACCAACAGGCUUGGCCUGGAGCUCUCCAGAUGCCCUCGAAUACUAGAAUGGAUACCCGCGUGGUGGGUUCUGCCUCCCACAUGUUCACAUCCUGUGAAUAUGUUGCAUUACAUAGCAAAGGGGGAUUAGGCAGCAAAUGGGAUUAACAGUGAACCAGCUGACAUUAAAGAGAUUAUCCUGGAUUAUUAGGGUGGGCCAAAUGUAUCACAAAUUUCCUUAAAUGAGGAAAAGGGGGACAGAAGGGCCAGAGACGGUGGUAUGAGAAAGACUCCACCAGUCUAUACUGGCUUUGGAGACGGAAGGAGCCGUGAGUCCAGGAAUGCGGGCGGCUGCUGGAAGCCGAGAAGCAAGAAUGAGAAACUAACACGUGGAAUAUUCAUAUGGUGGAAUACUACACAGCAAUGAGAACAGAGGAUUUGCAAUUACACGUAACAAUAUGGCUGAGAACAUGCUGUAUGAUUCAAUUUAUCUCUGAAAGGAAGGAAACCAACAUCUGAGCACCCACUGCCUCUCAGGAAUUUUAUAUGCCAUAUCACAUUUAGUCGUUACAGUCCGUGAUGUAGGUAUCAUUAAUCUGUUUUAAGAAUGAGGAGGGGCACCUGGGUGGCUCAGUUGGUUGAGUG